rnacentral:rRNA from 1 species
CACGUAGUUAGCCGGCGCUUCAUACCCGGCUACCGUCAACCCCACCACCAGGGGCGGGGCCUUCACCACCGGGAACAGAGGUUCACAACCCGAAGGCCUCCAUCCCUCACGCGACGUCGCUGCAUCAGGCUUCCGCCCAUUGUGCAAUACCCCCCACUGCUGCCUCCCGCAGGAGUCUGGGCCGUGUCUCAGUCCCAGUGUGGCCGCCCACCCUCUCAGGCCGGCUACCCGUCACCGCCUUGGUGGCCAUCACCCCACCAACAAGCUGAUAGGCCGCGAGCCCAUCCCCCACCGAAACACCCGAAGAUGAAACUAUCCCGACCGGCCCAUGCGGACCAACCGGACCACCCCGUAUUACGCCGCCCUUUCAAGCGGUUAUCCAGGAGAGGAGGGCAGGUUACUCACGUGAUACCUCCACCCGUUCCGCCACCUACCAACCCCGAACCCCCGAAAAAACGGCCGGCCGGGUCCCGUUCGACUUCGCAUGUGUUAACGCACGCCGCCAGCGUCGUCCGUGACGCCGACGGACGUAC